rnacentral:rRNA from 1 species
UACGAAGGGGGCUAGCGUUGCUCGGAAUCACUGGGCGUAAAGGGUGCGUAGGCGGGUCUUUUAAGUCAGGGGUGAAAUCCUGGAGCUCAACCCCAGAACUGCCUUUGAUACUGAAGAUCUUGAGUUCGGGAGAGGUGAGUGGAACUGCGAGUGUAGAGGUGAAAUUCGUAGAUAUUCGCAAGAACACCAGUGGCGAAGGCGGCUCACUGGCCCGAUACUGACGCUGAGGCACGAAAGCGUGGGGAGCAAACAGG